rnacentral:tRNA from 2 species
GCCGACUUAGCUCAGUAGGUAGAGCAAUCCCCUUGUAAGGGAAAGGUCACCAGUUCGAUUCCGGUAGUCGGCAC